GCCUGGGUGGCUCAGUCGGUUAAGCGUCUGACUUCGGCUCAGGUCAUGAUCUCGUGGUUUGUGGGUUCGAGCCCCAUGUCGGGCU
rnacentral:tRNA from 1 species